rfam:Dipodomys ordii contig_17234, whole genome shotgun sequence.
UGUGUCCUGCCAGUGGUUUUACCCUAUGGUAGGUUACAUCAUGCUGUUCUACCACAGGGUAGAACCACGGACAGGAUAC